AUUGAACGCUGGCGGCAGGCUUAACACAUGCAAGUCGAACGAGUGGCGGACGGGUGAGUAAUGCUUGGGAAACUAGCUUAUGGAGGGGGAUAACUACGGGAAACUGUAGCUAAUACCGCAUACCAUCGGAUGAGCCCAAGUGGGAUUAGGUAGUGGGUGGGGUAAAGGCUCACCAAGCCGACGAUCCCUAGCUGGUCUGAGAGGAUGACCAGCCACACUGGGACUGAGACACGGCCCAGACUCCUACGGGAGGCAGCAGUGGGGAAUAUUGCGCAAUGGGCGCAAGCCUGAUGCAGCCAUGCCGCGUGUGUGAAGAAGGCCUUCGGGUUGUAAAGCUCUUUCGGUGGCGAGGCGUUACCUACAGAAGAAGCACCGGCUAACUCCGUGCCAGCAGCCGCGGUAAUUC
rnacentral:rRNA from 1 species